GUUCAAUUCUGUUAAUCGAAGGCGAAAUUUAGUGUCCCUUCAUUUUAUUAUUUAGUGGGUUUGGUUCUUUUAGCUGUGAAAACGCAGGAUAAGUAAUUAAUUUGGUGGUUUAAAUUUUGAAGCUCCUUAUAGUCAUGGAAAAUGAUUGAUGAAUCUGCUAAAUUGAGCGCAGUUCGAUGUUCUAGUGUUAUGAUAUUCAUAUAGUUGUUUGUCAUUUUAGCCUUAAUUGAAA
rnacentral:misc_RNA from 1 species